rnacentral:lncRNA from 10 species
AAAAAAAAAAAAAAUGACAGAAAAUUUACUUCAAUAUGUAAAAAAAUGGUUAAGUAGUUCUUAUUUUAAAAAUCCAUAUAUUGAGGCAAAAUACUUGUUUUGUUAUUUCUGUCUGUUUCUUCUGAAUCUGUUCCCUUGAACUUUAUCACUGAAGAUUUUUCUAUCAGCCUUUUUCAAUAAACAGAUCCUGUUGACUCAUGAACCUGUCUCAUCACCUCCGUGGGGCGGGUAGAGCCAGCUAAAGUUCAGAUAUAUGCUUU